UCAUUUUAGAGCUGAAACAACUAAUCGAUUUAAUCGAUUAUAAUCGAUUAUUAAAAUAGUUAACAACUUUUUUAGUCAUCGAUUAGUUGUUUAAUAAUCAUAUUUUACCGCAUAAAGUCUAUUUUUACCACAAUCUGACAUCGGUUACAAGCUGUUAAAUUUACCGCCAGUGUGUGGCAGUAAUGAGCCGCUGAUCUACCAGUGGAGCCGUAGAAGAAGAAAUGAGCCAAUGAGUGCCCUCGGUUUUCAUGACGUAUCACGUUACUGACGCUCAUCUUGCUGUGAGAGAUGGCGGAACAAGAGGAAAUACGGAAGAAAAAUAGAAGCGACAAAACUUUAGAGAAACCCCGGACAAAAACCUCACGAGUAUGGGAGCACUUCACUCUAGAUGCCUUUAAAAGGCAAAAUAUGCAAAAACCAUCUAGCAUGGCACGGAAGCACGACGUCCCUAAGUGAACAUUUGAGACGAAAACGUGGGGGCUGAUGCAGCAGAGGAAGAGCACCGCGGUCAAGUGAGCCGUCAUUUGGAAGAGCCAGCCCGAAAAAAAACAAGCAACGAUGGACAACUACAUGGGGAACAAGACACUCACCCCCCAGCAAUUCAUACCACUUACAAACUCUAUUCUAAACAUGCUGGUAAAAGACAUGAGGCCACUAUCCAUGGUGGAAGGAGCAGGCUUCCAGCUAAUGCUAAAAAAUUAUUCUGGACUGAUAUUUUGCACUGUUUAGCUCAUUUUAUACUGCUGACUGUGUUCAUGUGCAAUAAAAUAGAUUGCAGUCAACU